AGGAGUGUAGCUCAACUGGUAGAGCACCGGUCUCCAAAACCGGGGGCUGCGGGUUCAAGUCCUGCCACUCCUGCCA
rnacentral:tRNA from 6 species